GCCCUCGUGGCCCAGUGGUAAGGCGUCGCUCUUGUACCUGAAUCAAAGCGAAGACCGGGUGUUCAAUCCACUCCGAGGGCA